rnacentral:lncRNA from 1 species
UUUUGUAGCUUGAGUUGGCGUAUAAUUUAGGUUCGUUUUUUGCAUGUGAGUGUUUUAAUGGAUUGGAUCUUCUACCUGUAUGUUUGUCAAAUCUCAAUCAUGUUUCUGAGCUGAGUUGUGCAGUAGUGUUGGUUGAAAAUUAAUAUGUUAUUUAUUCAUUGAAAGCAUAUUGUUUCCCGAUGAUGAGUACUUGACCAAAUUAUAAUUUGCUGCAGUUUUGUCUUGACAAUUUAUGUUUCUC